CCUGGCGGCACUAGCGCGGUGGUCCCACCUGACCCCAUGCCGAACUCAGAAGUGAAACGCCGUAGCGCCGAUGGUAGUGUGGGGUCUCCCCGAGCGAGAGUAGGG
rnacentral:rRNA from 1 species